rnacentral:rRNA from 1 species
UACAGAGGGGGCAAGCGUUGUUCGGAAUUAUUGGGCGUAAAGAGCUCGUAGGCGGUUUGUCGCGUCUGCUGUGAAAACCUAAGGCUCAACCUUGGGCUUGCAGUGGGUACGGGCAGACUAGAGUGCGGUAGGGGUGACUGGAAUUCCUGGUGUAGCGGUGGAAUGCGCAGAUAUCAGGAGGAACACCGAUGGCGAAGGCAGGUCACUGGGCCGCAACUGACGCUGAGGAGCGAAAGCAUGGGGAGCGAACAGG